rnacentral:rRNA from 1 species
GGGGUAGUCAGCACGAGCGCACCCUUGUCAUUAGUUGCUACCAAAGGGUACUCUAAUGAAACUGGAGGGGACAAACCGAACGAAGGUGGGGAGGACGUCAAGUCCUCAUGGCUCUUAUCUGUGGGGCUACGCACUUCAUACAAUGGAUGGUACAAAGGAUUGCCAACCCGCGAGGGGGAGCUAAUCCCACAAAGCCAGUCGUAGUCCGGAUCGCAGUCUGCAACUCGACUGCGUGAAUUCAGAAUCGAUAGUAAUCAUGAAUCAAAAUGCCACGGUGAAUACAUACCCUGGUCUUGGGCCCUCCGCCCCUACCCUAAAAA